GGCAGAGGAGAAGAGGCAGGCAGAGCAGAUGAGGGGACCAGCGGUGAAGAUGGAAGCAAACUUCUCUGGGGAGGAAGGAUCUCCUUCGGAGGAAGGGCAGAGGGCUCAGGGCCAGGAACGCACCCAAGAUGGCCUCUCACAUGGCAGUGGACAGGUGGUGUUCAGCCCUCGUCUUGGCAGAGGAGGGGAAACGGCCGCUGCAC